rnacentral:rRNA from 1 species
CAGUAGCCGCGGUAAAACGAGGGGGGCAAGCGUUGUUCGGAAUUAUUGGGCGUAAAGGGUGCGUAGGCGGUUUGAUAAGUCUUGUGUGAAAUCUAUGGGCUCAACCCAUAGCCUGCACAGGAAACUGUCGGGCUUGAGAGUGGGAGAGGUGAGUGGAAUUUCCGGUGUAGCGGUGAAAUGCGUAGAUAUCGGAAGGAACACCUGUGGCGAAAGCGGCUCACUGGACCAUUUCUGACGCUGAUGCACGAAAGCUAGGGGAGCAAACAGGAUUAGAUACCCGCGUAGUCCCUGUCUCUUAUAC